UCCCGCCAGCAGCCCCCGCCUCUGCACCCAGUUCUCACCUGCUUGCUUACCUGUGUCCUCACUGAAUCUGACCAGUGCUCCCUGCUGAACCCCCACCUGUGCUGUCCUCUGCACCCUCAGCCAUAUCUACCUGCAUUUUGCUUGUCCUCACCUGGCCCGUCCUGAACAUCUUCACCUGCAUCACCUUUGCAGGUGUCUGUGUUCUGCAUGGCCCUCUGGGUCCUCACCCUCAGCCCUCUCUGGAUCUCUUCUCUGGGCUCUUUCCAAAGUCCCCACCCACAUUCUCGGUCACAUUUACCUUUUAGGAGCCCUUUCCUCUGAGCUUCACCUGUUCUUCCCAGCACCACAGGCUGCUCUGCCUGUCCCCUCAUCCCCACCUGCACCUUGCCCUCUUGCUCACCUGUCUCCUUUGUGUCUGCCCUUCAUCUGCAGGUCUCACAGGCCUGCCAUUGGCCCUGCUCCAGGCUCACCCCACCCUCUUGGUCCCCACUUAGUAAAGGGCCAGAACUGAUUAGUGACUGCUCCAAGGGUAGAUGCGCAGGCGGUUGUGCCCAGAGGGGGCGGUCAGGGGCUGCUGGCAGACCACGGAGUUGCUCAUUGGGUGACUUUUUUGCUCCGCCCACAUAACCCAGCCAAUCAGCCUCAAGAGCAGGAGGAGUGGGAGGUUGAGCGGCUCCUGGGAAGCCUGUGGUGGCAGUUGGGCUCUGAGAGAAUUCCUGUAGAGCUCCAGUGGUGAGGUGUGUGUUCUAAAAAUAAAGUUCGCUUGUGCUUCA